UUAAGCAUAUCAAUAAGCGGAGGAAAAGAAACUAACGAGGAUUCCCCCUAGUAACGGCGAGUGAAGAGGGAAAAGCUCAAAUUUUGAAUCUGGUGUCUUUGGCGCCCGAGUUGUAAUCUAGAGAAGUGUUUUCCGUGUCGGACCGUGCACAAGUUCCCUGGAAUGGGGCGUCAUAGAGGGUGAGAAUCCCGUAUAUGGCAUGGACUCCCGAUGCAUUGUGAUACACUCUCAACGAGUCGAGUUGUUUGGGAAUGCAGCUCAAAAUGGGUGGUAAAUUCCAUCUAAAGCUAAAUAUUGGCGAGAGACCGAUAGCGAACAAGUACCGUGAGGGAAAGAUGAAAAGCACUUUGGAAAGAGAGUGAAACAGUACGUGAAAUUGUUGAAAGGGAAGCGUUUGAAGUCAGUCAUAUCUGGCGGGAUUCAGCCGGGCUUUGUCCGGUGCACUUCUCGUCCGAUGGGUCAGCAUCAAUUUCGAUCGGGGGAAAAAGACGUGUGGAAUGUGGCUGUCUUCGGGCAGUGUUAUAGCCACGCGUUGUAUGCCCCGGUUGGGAUUGAGGAACGCAGCGCNCCUAUAGGCCAGGGGCCAAAAGCCU
rnacentral:rRNA from 1 species